GCAGUGGUGGUUCAGUGGUAGAAUUCUCUCCUUCCAUGCGGGAGACCCAGGUUCUAUUCCCAGCCAAUGCA
rfam:Loxodonta africana unplaced genomic scaffold scaffold_53, whole genome shotgun sequence.